AUACGGAGGAUCCGAGCGUUAUCCGGAUUUAUUGGGUUUAAAGGGAGCGUAGGCGGACGCUUAAGUCAGUUGUGAAAGUUUGCGGCUCAACCGUAAAAUUGCAGUUGAUACUGGGUGUCUUGAGUACAGUAGAGGCAGGCGGGAUUCGUGGGGGUGCGGUGGAAUGCUUAGAUAUCACGAAGAACUCCGAUUGCGAAGGCAGCCUGCUGGACUGUAACUGACGCUGAUGCUCGAAAGUGUGGGUAUCAAACAGGAUUAGAUACCCUGGUAGUCCACACAGUAAACGAUGAAUACUCGCUGUUUGCGAUAUACAGUAAGCGGCCAAGCGAAAGCGAUAAGUAUUCCACCUGGGGAGUACGCCGGCAACGGUGAAACUUAAAGGAAUGGACGGGG
rnacentral:rRNA from 1 species